rnacentral:tRNA from 1 species
GCGCCCGUAGCUCAAUUGGAUAGAGCGUCUGGCUACGGACCAGAAGGUUGUGGGUUCAAAUCCUUCCGGGCGUA